GGACCCGCACAAGUAGUGGAGCAUGUGGUUUAAUUCGAAGAUACGCGCAGAACCUUACCAACACCUGACAUGUUCGUCGCGACUUUAAGAGAUUAAAGUUUUCGGUUCGGCCGGACGAAACACAGGUGCUGCAUGGCUGUCGUCAGCUCGUGUCGUGAGAUGUUGGGUUAAGUCCCGCAACGAGCGCAACCCUCACUUUUAGUUGCCAUCAUUAAGUUGGGCACUCUGAAAGAACUGCCAGUGAUAAGCUGGAGGAAGGUGGGGAUGACGUCAAGUCCUCAUGGCCCUUACGUGUUGGGCUACACACGUGCUACAAUGGUAUCUACAACAGGAAGCGAAACAGCGAUGUUAAGCAAAUCCUUAAAAGAUACCUCAGUUCGGAUUGCACUCUGCAACUCGAGUGCAUGAAGCUGGAAUCGCUAGUAAUCG
rnacentral:rRNA from 1 species